CUUGCACACCGUUAGAGCUUGGCGCAGUCCAGUCAGUGUGGUGCUGGGUGUAAGAUGUGUGGUACAGAAACACAGGG
rnacentral:snoRNA from 1 species